GACGAAGGGGGCGAGCGUUGUUCGGAAUUACUGGGCGUAAAGCGUGCGUAGGCGGUUCGUUAAGUUCGUCGUGAAAGCCCCGGGCUCAACCUGGGAAUGGCGAUGGAAACUGGCGGGCUGGAGUAUGGCAGAGGGGGGUGGAAUUCCGCGUGUAGCAGUGAAAUGCGUAGAGAUGCGGAGGAACACCGAUGGCGAAGGCAGCCCCCUGGGCCAAUACUGACGCUCAGGCACGAAAGCGUGGGGAGCAAACAGG
rnacentral:rRNA from 1 species